rnacentral:rRNA from 1 species
CAACAGAAGAAGCACCGGCUAACUCCGUGCCAGCAGCCGCGGUAAUACGGAGGGUGCGAGCGUUAAUCGGAAUUACUGGGCGUAAAGCGCACGCAGGCGGUUUGUUAAGCUAGAUGUGAAAGCCCCGAGCUCAACUUGGGAUGGUCAUUUAGAACUGGCAGACUAGAGUCUUGGAGAGGGGAGUGGAAUUUCUAGUGUAGCGGUGAAAUGCGUAGAUAUUAGAAGGAACAUCAGUGGCGAAGGCGACUCCCUGGCCAAAGACUGACGCUCAUGUGCGAAAGUGUGGGUAGCGAACAGGAUUAGAUACCCUGGUAGUCCACACCGUAAACGCUGUCUACUAGCUGUUUGUGAGUUUAACUCGUGAGUAGCGAAGCUAACGCGCUAAGUAGACCGCCUGGGG